rnacentral:rRNA from 1 species
UACGAAAGGGGCUAGCGUUGUUCGGAAUCACUGGGCGUAAAGCGCACGUAGGCGGAUUUUUAAGUCAGGGGUGAAAUCCCGAGGCUCAACCUCGGAACUGCCUUUGAUACUGGAGAUCUUGAGUCCGGAAGAGGUAAGUGGAACUGCGAGUGUAGAGGUGAAAUUCGUAGAUAUCGGGAGGAACACCAGCGGCGAAGGCGGCCAUCUGGACGGAUACGUGACGCUGAGACGCGAAAGCGUGGGGAGCAAACAGG